AGCGAACGCUGGCGGCAGGCCUAAUACAUGCAAGUCGAACGGCUCUUCGGAGCAGUGGCGGACGGGUGAGUAACGCGUGGGAAUGUGCCCUUAGGUACGGAACAACACAGGGAAACUUGUGCUAAUACCGUAUGUGCCCUUCGGGGGCAAGAAUUAUCGCCGCUUGGAGCAGCCCGCGUUGGAUUAGGUAGUUGGUGAGGUAAAGGCUCACACAACCGACGAUCCAUAGCUGGUCUGAGAGGAUGACCAGCCACACUGGGAGUGAGACACGGCCCAGACUCCUACGGGAGGCAGCAGUAGGGAACCUUGCGCAAUGGGCGAAAGCCUGACGCAGCCAUGCCGCGUGUAUGAUGAAGGUCUUAGGAUUGUAAAAUACUUUCACCGGGGAAGAUGAUGACGGUACCCGGAGAAGAAGCCCCGGCUAACUGCGUGCCAGCCGCCGCCGUAA
rnacentral:rRNA from 1 species